GGCGGCAUGCCUAACACAUGCAAGUCGAACGGCAGCACAGUGUGUAGCAAUACACAUGGGUGGCGAGUGGCGGACGGGUGAGGAAUACAUCGGAAUCUGCCCGGUUGUGGGGGAUAACGUAGGGAAACUUACGCUAAUACCGCAUACGACCGAGAGGUGAAAGCGUGGGAUCCGCAAGGACCUCGCGCAGCCGGAUGAGCCGAUGUCGGAUUAGCUAGUUGGCGGGGUAAAGGCCCACCAAGGCGACGAUCCGUAGCUGGUCUGAGAGGAUGAUCAGCCACACUGGGACUGAGACACGGCCCAGACUCCUACGGGAGGCAGCAGUGGGGAAUAUUGGACAAUGGGGGCAACCCUGAUCCAGCAAUGCCGCGUGUGUGAAGAAGGCCUUCGGGUUGUAAAGCACUUUUAUCCGGAACGAAACGCGCUUGGUCAAUANCCAGGUGAACUGACGGUACCGGANGAAUAAGCACCGGCUAACUUCGUGCCAGCAGCCGCGGUAAUACGAAGGGUGCAAGCGUUACUCGGAAUUACUGGGCGUAAAGGGUGCGU
rnacentral:rRNA from 1 species